rnacentral:rRNA from 1 species
AGGGUUUCCGCCCUUUAGUGCUGCAGCUAACGCAUUAAGCACUCCGCCUGGGGAGUACGGUCGCAAGACUGAACUCAAAGGAAUUGACGGGGGCCCGCACAAGCGGUGGAGCAUGUGGUUUAAUUCGAAGCAACGCGAAGAACCUUACCAGGUCUUGACAUCCUCUGACAACUCUAGAGAUAGAGCGUUCCCCUUCGGGGGACAGAGUGACAGGUGGUGCAUGGUUGUCGUCAGCUCGUGUCGUGAGAUGUUGGGUUAAGUCCCGCAACGAGCGCAACCGUUGAUCUUAGUUGCCAGCAUUUAGUUGGGCACUUUAAGGUGACUGCCGGUGACAAACCGGAGGAAGGUGGGGAUGACGUCAAAUCAUCAUGCCCCUUAUGACCUGGGCUACACACGUGCUACAAUGGAUGGUACAAAGGGCUGCAAGACCGCGAGGUCAAGCCAAUCCCAUAAAACCAUUCUCAGUUCGGAUUGUAGGCUG